UACGAAGGGUGCUAGCGUUGUUCGGAAUCACUGGGCGUAAAGCGCGCGUAGGCGGCUAUUCAAGUCAGAGGUGAAAGCCCUGGGCUCAACCCAGGAAUUGCCUUUGAAACUGUGUAGCUAGAGUGUCGGAGGGGAUAGCGGAAUUCCUAAUGUAGAGGUGAAAUUCGUAGAUAUUAGGAGGAACACCGGUGGCGAAGGCGGCUAUCUGGACGACAACUGACGCUGAGGCGCGAAAGCGUGGGGAUCAAACAGG
rnacentral:rRNA from 1 species